UACAGAGGGUGCGAACGUUGUUCGGAAUCACUGGGCAUAAAGCGCACGUAGGCGGCUUGGUAUGUCGGGUGUGAAAUCCCCGGGCUCAACCUGGGAACUGCAUCCGAAACUGCCUUGCUCGAGUAUGGGAGAGGGAAGUGGAAUUUCCGGUGUAGCGGUGAAAUGCGUAGAUAUCGGAAGGAACAUCAGUGGCGAAGGCGACUUCCUGGACCAAUACUGACGCUCAGGUGCGAAAGCGUGGGGAGCAAACAGG
rnacentral:rRNA from 1 species